CGUCAGUUAGCAAUUUAAUAAGUGAAGAAAUAGAUAUUGGUCUCCAAUUUUAGCGAAUGAGUUCUUCAUGAUGAAAGGGAUAUAUUUAGUGGCCAUUUUAUACGUGGCCACGUUGAGUGUUGUUGCUCUCAACGAAUCACCAGUUGCUGACUGGACAAAAUGUCCCAAAGAUAACCCACAAAACAAAACAGUUUUUAUACCUCACGAAAGUGACUGCACGAAAUUCUACAAUUGUCAAUUGGGAGAGAAAGGGGAUCCAUUACAAUGCCCUUUAAUGGAUACUAAAGGCAACAGAUUACACUUCAAUGCUAAACUUCAAGUAUGUGAUUGGCCGUGGAAUGCAGGAUGUGAAUUAUCGUCAUCGACCCCGACAAUGACUACGCUAUCGAGUACUCCAACGCCGACGAUUCCGUCAACGACUACUCCAACGCCGACGACUCCGUCAACGACUACUCCAACGCCGACGACUCCGUCAACGACUACUCCAACGCCGACGACUCCGUCAACGACUACUCCAACGCCGACGACUCCGUCAACGACUACUCCAACGCCGACGACUCCGUCAACGACUACUCCAACACCGACGACUCCGUCCACGACUACUCCAACGCCGACGACUCCGUCAACGACUACUCCAACGCCGACGACUCCGUCCACGACUACUCCAACGCCGACGACUCCGUCAACGACUACUCCAACGCCGACGACUCCGUCAACGACUACUCCAACGCCGACGACUCCGUCAACGACUACUCCAACGCCGACGACUCCGUCAACGACUACUCCAACGCCGACGACUCCGUCAUCCAGUACUCCGACACCUACAACUCCGUCAUUGGAUUCUUGUGAGUCCGAUGGCAUAAUACACUUGCUUCCACACAAGACGUGCGAUCAUUACUAUGUGUGUUUGAACGGUAUGGUAGACCCCAUUCCUCAGAAAUGCGACCGUGGUUUAUUAUUCAACUCAGUUCUCCGUGUAUGCGACUUUCCGGAAAAUGUAAACUGCAAUGAUAUUUUUCCAUCGAGUACGGUUGUUGUACCAUCAACUAUCCACUCAAUAAUUACGACGAGAUUGAAUCCACCAUUGACUUCACCACCAUUUUCUCCAACGCCGAAUCCGUCAUUGGAUUCUUGUGAGUCCGAUGGCAUAAUACACUUGCUUCCACACAAGACUACGUGUGAUCAUUACUAUGUGUGUUUGAACGGUAUGGUAGACCCCAUUCCACAGAAAUGCGACCGUGAUUUAUUAUUCAACUCAGUUCUCCGUGUAUGCGACUUUCCGGAAAAUGUAAACUGCAAUGAUAUCGUUCCAUCGAGUACGGUUGUCGUACCAUCAACUAUCCACUCAAUAAUUACAACGAGAUUAAAUCCACCAAUGACUUCACCACCAUUUUCUCCAACGCCGACAAAAUCGGUAGAUCCAACUAAUUGGGUUUGCAUACCAAACGGCAGACGUUACAAGAUUCCUCAUCAGACCAUGUGCGAUUACUAUUAUUGGUGUACUGACGGCGUACAAGGUAAAUAUCCGAUAAAAUGCCCAGGCGAUUUAUUAUUUAAUCCAGAGAUUGGUCAAUGUGAUAACAAGGAAAUUGUAGAUUGCAAUGGUAGAAGUACUCCAUCACCAAUACCUACAACCUCAACAACGACUACAAAAACACCACCAACACCACCACCACCAACAACAACAACAACAACAACAACAACACCAACAACUACAACAGAAGUCACAAUUUCAACGACUACGGAAAAACCGACAACAACACCAACGACUACAACAACAACAACAGAAAUCCCAACACCAACACCAGAUCCUAGCAAACCUCGUAAAAACUGUCCUCCAAAAGGUUCAACGGAGAAAGCGCGGAUUGCUCACCCAUGUCUAUGCAAUACAUAUUAUGAUUGCAUAAACGGUGAAAAAGUAUUAAAAAAAUGUCCAAUCGGCAAGCAUUUUGAUUACGUGAGAGAAGUUUGCGAUUGGCCCUCAAUAGUAAAGUGUAUUCGGCCGAUUCCAUCCUUCGAUAUUCCAACUUUCGACAUUCGUAUUGAUGACUACAAUAUUACAUGCGCUCCAGAAGGCAGAGGAUUUCAGCAUAAGACCGAUUGUUCUGCUUAUUAUUUAUGUUCCAAUGGUGAGAUAAUAUUGAAGCACUGUACAGAGGGACUUCAUUUUAACAUGUCUAUUCAGACAUGUGAUUAUCCACACAAGAGUUGUGAUCUAAACAGAUCUCUGCCGAUAAUUUAUCUAGAUUUUUGUCCCACUUCAGAUUCCAUUGAAAAAGUAUUUUUACCUCACGAAUGUCAUUGCACACAGUAUUACGAAUGCGUUGGUGGAGAAAAAGUUCUUCGAUCUUGUCCAAAUGGUCUACAUUUUGAUUAUGUUUGGCAAAUUUGCAACGAUCCGAAUGAAGUCAAAUGUGCGGCUCAUAUAACUUCAACAACGCCUAGAACAGUAUACACAACAACAUCAAAUACGAAAACUAAUAGCGAUAAGCCUCGUAAAACAUGUCCUCCCAAGGGAUCAACCGAGAGAGCACAGCUUGCUCAUCCAUGUCUAUGCAAUCAAUAUUACGAGUGUGUAGAGGGCAACAAAGUAUUACGGAAGUGUCCAAGCGGUAUGUACUUUGAUGACACAAAAGAAAAAUGCGAUUUGACAAGCAAAGUGAAAUGCAUCCGACCACUUCCAUAUGAUUUUAGAAUGACCCACGACAUCUUAAUUGACGACUACGAUAAUAAAUGCUCUCCGGAUGGCAGAGCGUAUCAACACAAUUUUAGUUGCACCGAGUAUUAUUUAUGCACUAAGGGUAAGAAAGUCCUGAAAUCAUGCAUAGAAGGACUUCACUUCAACCAGAGUCUACAGAUAUGCGAUUAUCCGGAAAAGGAAUGUGAUCUAACUAUACCAAUGCCGACAAUCAGUCUAGGCAUUUGCCCUCCAGCAGGAUCCGUAGAGAAAGUAAUGCUCCCUCACGAGUGCGAAUGUACUCAGUAUUACGAAUGUAUUGAUGGAAAACAGAUUCUUCGAGAUUGUUUGGAUGGUCUACAUUAUGAUUAUAUUCGUCAAAUUUGUAACGAGCCAACCGAAGCCAAAUGCGCUAAUCUUGCGCCAACAGUUCCCACAAAACGAUCAUCCACAACUUCUGAUUCAGAUAAUUGUUUCAAUGAGAAUAGCGAAAUACCUCACGAAAACGAUUGCAGGUCCUACUAUAAAUGUAAUGACGGCAAAAAAGUAUUGAAGACAUGUCCCAGAAACUUACAUUUCAAUCCUAAACUUCGAGUUUGCGAUUUUCCAGAGAACGUUGUCUGCAACGCUGGAUCUACGAACGUACCUAAUCUGCCAACAUCAAAUAAAUGUGAUACAACAUCAGGAAUCACUAAAAUUCCUCAUGAAACUGACUGUAAUCUGUAUUACAUCUGCGCGAAUGGCAUCAGUACUCUUAAAAAAUGCCAUUCUCCAAACCUCGUUUUCAAUCCUAUUUUGAAAGUCUGUGAUUUCCCAGAGAAUUAUAUUUGCAAUACAGCACGCAUAAAAAACGACCUUAGAAGUAUUGAUAAAAUCGAGAUUCAAAAUCUAGAUCCAUCUACCUGUAUUGGCACCUGUCCCGAAGAAGAUCCCAAAUAUGCAGUUCUACUUCCAAACGACGACUGUAAGAAGUUUUGUUUGUGCAGCAACGGCAUACCGUGGGUUCAACCAUGUCCCGAGCCUCUCUAUUUCGAUUCUGUUCAAAAAAUUUGCAAACAGAAAAGAGAUGCCGUCUGUGGAGUACGCUCAUUCAGUCAAGAUGAUACUUUUGAGUUUACUAAAGCAAUUGAAAACGACAAUUCAUUGAGCUUUGUGACGAAUAAAAAUAACAAUAAACGCGCAGCAUACGAUAAUCUCGAUCCAGCUACUUGUAUAGGUACCUGUCCAGAGGAAGACCCAGAAUAUGCAGUUCUACUUCCAAACGACGACUGCAAGAAGUUUUGUUUGUGCAGCAACGGCAUACCGUGGGUUCAACCAUGUCCCGAACCUCUCUACUUCGAUUCUGUUCAAAAAGUUUGCAAACAGAAAAGAGAUGCCGUCUGUGGAGUACGCUCAUUCCGUCAAGAUGAUACUUUCACGUUUACUAAAGUAACUAACAACAAAAAUUCAUUGAAAUCUCUGACAAAUGAAAACAGCAAUAAACGCACAGCAUACGACAAUCUCGAUCCAUCUACUUGUAUAGGUACCUGUCCAGAAGAAGAUCCAGAAUAUGCAGUACUACUUCCAAACGAUGACUGCAAGAAGUUCUGUUUGUGCAGCAAUGGCAUACCGUGGGUUCAACCAUGUCCCGAACCUCUCUACUUCGAUUCUGUUCAAAAAGUUUGCAAACAGAAAAGAGAUGCCGUCUGUGGAGUACGCUCAUUCAGUCAAGAUGAUAUUUUUGAGUUUACUAAAGCAAUUGAAAACGACAAUUCAUUGAGCUCUGUGACGAAUAAAAAUAACAAUAAACGCGCAGCAUACGACAAUCUCGAUCCAGCUACUUGUAUAGGUACUUGUCCAGAGGAAGACCCAGAAUAUGCAGUUCUACUUCCAAACGACGACUGUAAGAAGUUUUGUUUGUGCAGCAACGGCAUACCGUGGGUUCAACCAUGUCCCGAGCCUCUCUAUUUCGAUUCUGUUCAAAAAAUUUGCAAACAGAAAAGAGAUGCCGUCUGUGGAGUACGCUCAUUCCGUCAAGAUGAUACUUUCACGUUUACUAAAGUAACCGACAACAAAAAUUCAUUGAAAUCUCUGACAAAUGGAAACAGCAAUAAACGCACAGCAUACGACAAUCUCGACCCAUCUACUUGUAUAGGUACCUGUCCAGAAGAAGAUCCAGAAUAUGCAGUACUACUUCCAAACGAUGAUUGCAAGAAGUUCUGUUUGUGCAGCAAUGGCAUACCGUGGGUUCAACCAUGUCCCGAACCUCUCUACUUCGAUUCUGUUCAAAAAGUUUGCAAACAGAAAAGAGAUGCCGUCUGUGGAGUACGCUCAUUCAGUCAAGAUGAUAUUUUUGAGUUUACUAAAGCAAUUGAAAACGACAAUUCAUUAAGCUCUGUGACGAAUAAAAAUAACAAUAAACGCGCAGCAUACGACAAUCUCGAUCCAGCUACUUGUAUAGGUACCUGUCCAGAGGAAGACCCAGAAUAUGCAGUUCUACUUCCAAACGACGACUGUAAGAAGUUUUGUUUGUGCAGCAACGGCAUACCGUGGGUUCAACCAUGUCCCGAGCCUCUCUAUUUCGAUUCUGUUCAAAAAAUUUGCAAACAGAAAAGAGAUGCCGUCUGUGGAGUACGCUCAUUCCGUCAAGAUGAUACUUUCACGUUUACUAAAGUAACUGACAACAAAAAUUCAUUGAAAUCUCUGACAAAUGAAAACAGCAAUAAACGCACAGCAUACGACAAUCUCGACCCAUCUACUUGUAUAGGUACCUGUCCAGAAGAAGAUCCAGAAUAUGCAGUACUACUUCCAAACGAUGAUUGCAAGAAGUUCUGUUUGUGCAGCAAUGGCAUACCGUGGGUUCAACCAUGUCCCGAACCUCUCUACUUCGAUUCUGUUCAAAAAGUUUGCAAACAGAAAAGAGAUGCCGUCUGUGGAGUACGCUCAUUCAGUCAAGAUGAUACUUUUAAAUUUACUGAAGCAAUUGAAAACGACAAUUCAUUGAGCUCUGUGACGAAUAAAAAUAACAAUAAACGCGCAGCAUACGACAAUCUCGAUCCAGCUACUUGUAUAGGUACCUGUCCAGAGGAAGACCCAGAAUAUGCAGUUCUACUUCCAAACGAUGACUGUAAGAAGUUUUGUUUGUGCAGCAACGGCAUACCGUGGGUUCAACCAUGUCCUGAGCCUCUCUAUUUCGAUUCUGUUCAAAAAAUUUGCAAACAGAAAAGAGAUGCCGUCUGUGGAGUACGCUCAUUCAGUCAAGAUGAUACUUUUGAGUUUACCAAAGCAAUUGAAAACGACAAUUCAUUGAGCUCUGUGACGAAUAAAAAUAACAAUAAACGCGUGGCAUACGACAAUCUCGAUCCAGCUACUUGUAUAGGUACUUGUCCAGAGGAAGACCCAGAAUAUGCAGUUCUACUUCCAAACGACGACUGUAAGAAGUUUUGUUUGUGCAGCAAUGGCAUACCGUGGGUUCAACCAUGUCCCGAACCUCUCUACUUCGAUUCUGUUCAAAAAGUUUGCAAACAGAAAAGAGAUGCCGUCUGUGGAGUACGCUCAUUCAGUCAAGAUGAUGCUUUUAAAUUUACUGAAGCAAUUGAAAACGACAAUUCAUUGAGCUCUGUGACGAAUAAAAAUAACAAUAAACGCGCAGCAUACGACAAUCUCGAUCCAGCUACUUGUAUAGGUACUUGUCCAGAGGAAGACCCAGAAUAUGCAGUUCUACUUCCAAACGACGACUGCAAGAAGUUUUGUUUGUGCAGCAACGGCAUACCGUGGGUUCAACCAUGUCCCGAACCUCUCUACUUCGAUUCUGUUCAAAAAGUUUGCAAACAGAAAAGAGAUGCGGUCUGCGGAGUACGCUUAUUCAGUCAAGAUGAUACUUUUGAGUUCACUAAAAUAAUUGACAACGACAAUUCAUUGAACUCUCUGACCAAUAAAAACAGCAACAAACACGCAACAUAUGACAAUCUCGAUCCAUCUACUUGUAUAGGUACCUGUCCAGAAGAAGAUCCAGAUUAUGCAGUUCUACUUCCAAACGACGACUGCAAGAAGUUCUGUUUGUGCAGCAACGGCAUACCGUGGGUCCAAUCAUGUCCCGAGCCUCUCUACUUCGAUUCUAUUCAUAAAGUUUGUAAACAGAAAAGAGAUGCCGUUUGUGGGAUACGCUAGUAUAGUAAAGAUAGCGUUUUCACAACGAUGAUAGAACGAUGACAACGAUUUGAUAAAAACUCUGAUUGAAACAGUAACGAACACGAUAUAUCUCAAUCUAUGUGCCUGCAUCAGUACUUGGCCAGAGAAGAAUUAUGAUUAUGCAGUGCCACUUCCAAACGAUGAUUGCAAGAAGUUCUAUUUUUCGACAACGACGUGGUCUAGGUUCUGUCCUGUCCUGAACCUUUAUGUAUCGAUUCUGUCCAGGAAAUUUGUAAACAAAAGAAGAAUGAUGUUUGCGCGAUACAUCUUUGCAAUGAAAAUUGCACUUCACUUUCAGUAAAAAUUGAUAAUCAGCAAUAAAUCACUGGCAUCUUACUAAAAAACAUGAUACAAAACAGUUAUUUGAAUCAAAGCUUUUCUUGAGUCAAAGCUUUAUUUCAAUUUUUAUUUAAUUAUCCAAAGUUUGCAAAUUAUUCAUCAAUUUUAUAUUAUGAAUUCUUGUUACUUAUAAAUUUUUUGCUUUUCUUAUAAUUUGGCUAAUAUCUUAUUAUUACAUAAGUGUUAAUUCAAUUUUAAGAGAUAAUUCAGUUUAUUGUAAAAAAUAAAGUGUUUGUCAAUAAUUAUUUAUUU